UACGGAGGGGACUAGCGUUGUUCGGAAUUACUGGGCGUAAAGCGCACGUAGGCGGAUUUGUAAGCCAGGGGUGAAAUCCCGGGGCUCAACCUCGGAACUGCCUUUGAUACUGCAAAUCUCGAGUCCGGAAGAGGUGAGUGGAAUUCCUAGUGUAGAGGUGAAAUUCGUAGAUAUUAGGAAGAACACCAGUGGCGAAGGCGGCUCACUGGUCCGGUACUGACGCUGAGGUGCGAAAGCGUGGGGAGCAAACAGG
rnacentral:rRNA from 1 species